AAAACCCUUGCUGGCCGCUGGGCUGUGGGUGUAAGGCAGGAGUUUUCACCUGCAGGCAGGAAAGCCAGGCAAGAUAUUUGUGUCUUAUCCCGAGGUUGAUUCUGUGGUGCUACGUUUAUCAUAUGUGAUGCUGCACAUAUUAUCACAAACGUGGAGGCCAAGUCUGACUCUGGUCAUGACUCAUGAAUACUGUAUAUCGUGAGUCAACCCCAAGUAACAGGCUGCACUGUGGAGAGAUUGACGGUUUUAUGCUGGAGAUAGGGGUUAAAGCCAGCCCACACUACUGACCCCUCACCCAGAACCUGAAGCAGGCCCCCAGCAGUGCUUUAAUGUGGCCCUGCGGAACAAGAGCCCGGGAGGAAAUGACCAUAGGCCUGUUGAAAGCACGUCUUCAGUGUCUACGUCACCUCAGGGAAACACCUGAGAGGCCUGUGACAUUAAUGUGGCAUGUGUUGUUCUCCACAAUAUUGCAAUUAUUAAAGGGGAGCAACAGCCUGCCCUACAAAUACAAGACCAUGACGAAGACUCCUUCCAUCAUGGUAAUCUGCAGAGUGGAUGGACAGUCAGAUGUGAUAUGCCAUAAUAUCUUAAUCAGCCAUCACCACCACCAAUAAAAGAAACUGAAU